CAAAAAGUAGUUUAAAGAAAACGAAGGCUUUGGGAGCCUUAAAUUUACUUGUUGUUAACUUUUUGA
rnacentral:tRNA from 1 species